AACGAACGCUGGCGGCAUGCCUAACACAUGCAAGUCGAACGAGACCUUCGGGUCUAUUGGCGCUCGGGUGCUUAACGCGUGGGAACCUGCCCUUAGGUUCCGAAUUCUCCCCGAAAGUGGUGCUAAUACCGGAUAAUGUCUUCGGACCAAAGAUUUAUCGCCUUUGGGUGGGCCCGCGUUGGAUUAGCUUGUUGGUGUGGUAAAAGCCUACCAAGGCGACGAUCCAUAGCUGGUCUGAGAGGAUGAUCAGCCACACUGGGACUGAGACACGGCCCAAACUCCUACGGGAGGGAGAAGUGGGGAAGAAUGGACAAUGGGCGAAAGAGUGAGCCAGCAGGGCCGCGAGAGUGAUGAAGGGGUUAGGAAAGUAAAGCUCUUAUAAGCGGGAUGAUAAUAAGAGAACCGGGAGAAAAAGCACGGGCAAACACGGU
rnacentral:rRNA from 1 species